UGCCAGCAGCCGCGGUAAUACAUAGGGUGCAAGCGUUAAUCGGAAUUACUGGGCGUAAAGCGUUCGCAGGCGGUUUUAUAAGUCAGAUGUGAAAUCCCCGAGCUCAACUUGGGAACUGCGUUUGAGACUGUAAAACUAGAGUGUGUCAGAGGGGGGUAGAAUUCCAUGUGUAGCAGUGAAAUGCGUAGAUAUGUGGAGGAAUACCAAUGGCGAGGGCAGCCCCCUGGGAUAACACUGACGCUCAUGAACGAAAGCGUGGGAGCAAACAGGAUUAGAUA
rnacentral:rRNA from 1 species